CCGGUAUGUGCUGUUUACAGAAGUGUUUGAGGAACCUGCGCGGAAACAAUGUUUCUUUUAAGUGGAGUUUUCAAAGCAGCGCGUGCUCGGGGUAAUCCUCAAAGGCGCGCAGAAUAUCUGAUCAUGACGUCAGCUCGCAUGUGUAGCGAAGAAGUCUCUCUGAUCUCACCGGGCACGCGUGAAGCACGAGGGAGUAACCAAUCCGGUGGGAGUGUGAGAGAGUCUCAUCAGACACACACUGGGACACACACUCUCUCUGAGCAGGACAGAUUGAUCCAGAGCCUUCACCAGGACGCAUGCGAGAUGAUCUGGGUUCAAGAGAGGUCUGGUGUGUAAUGGAAGCAUGUCCUCGUGACCUGGAGAGACCAGGAAUGGCUGCCUAAUUCUCCUAUCAAGAAGACAACAUACCUAUAAGAGAGAUGCUUGUGCUCUUUUUUGCCUUACCUUGUCGAGUGUAGCUUUUCAAACUUGGCUGAUGUGCUGAAACUAUUGAACCUGAAACCUCACCAUGCAUCAAUGUUUUGUGUUUAACAUGUUUUGUGUGCAGCGUGUUUACACUGUAUUUUUGUAAAUAAAUGUAUACUGUAGAAU